GGAUGCUGCGAUGGAGACAGGAUGAAACUGACGGGGUGUUUUUCGGAGGAAAGUGCCUCUGGGGUGUCGUUACCUGGCGGCUUUCCAGGGUGUCUCGUUACCAGAAGCGUAUAUUUGAGGAACAAGAAGGAGUGUAUUACCAUUUUGUCGAUGCCUGAGGAUUAUGGACCAUUACAGUAACGACCGGCAGUGUAACGGUUUGGAUAACUGCCUGUGUACUCUUUCUUCCUCUUCGUGUCCUUCUCUUUAUCAACUAGGCGAAAGCCAGCACAUUUUCAUUGCAUUCGUGUUGGACGUUUUCUCACAAAAUGUUGAAUUUAGCGCUCUCUCGACGUGAAGGAUAUUCGUGGCACGCCGUUUUUUUGUGUUGGACAUGAAGGUGUGAGGGGCAGUAACCUGUGGACGGGCGCCGUUUCGCAGACAGUAUGAUACAAUAUUUUGACAUAACCUUUAUUUUUUUUGUGUUACGCUCUAUUGCGCAUGCCUAGCGGUAGGCUAUAUACAGAACGCUGCCCGACACCACUUCGCUCUGUCCUGGCCGUGAUGUAGGAGCAAAAGUGAAGGGAGCAGCGGAGGACUAAAUAAAAAUGCGUUGGCAAAGUGGCAGCGUGGCAACCAAAGGAUUUUACUUUAGAUCCUUCACAAAAUAAAUUGUGCCAUAAACUGAAGGAUGUCAGGGUCACCUAAUGCAGAGGCUGAAGGAGUAGUCUCCAAAGUAAAAGUGAAAAAGGAGAUCAAGACAAUCGUGGAGAAUUUGGAAACCAUCCUGGGAGACCUCAAGGAUGUGGCCAAAGAGCUGAAAGAGGUUGUUCAUGACAUUGACACCCUGACUUGUGACCUGCAGCUGGAGGAAGAUGGACUGACAGACAGCUCGAAGACAGACACGCUCAACUCCAGUUCAAGUUCCACCACUACCACUACCACAGCUUCCAGCCUGGAGAAGAUGAAGCUCUUUCCUGAUGACUGCAUGUUCAGACCACCUGCGCUCAUCGACCCGGUCCCUGUCAACCCUCUUGCACUCCUGACUGUACUCAAGAAACCCCGUCCUCCCCUACCGCCACCCAGACUUACCCCUCUGAGAGCCGAGGAUCACAACAUUAAGAAUCUGCCUCAUCCGACAUUAGUGUUAUCAGGGAAUGUAUCCAAGGCUACCCCGUCUCUAAUGAGGAAUGGCGGGGGUUUUCCAUUGAAACCAAACAGGGAUUUAUUCUCCUCCACGCCGUGUUUCAUUUCUAAUGACAGUGGAGUCCCUGAGUCGGGUCUUGUUCCCACAUUACCCAGGCCCAUGCCCCUUCUCCACCAUGAAAAGAACAAAUGCCCAAAAGCCACUGGCAGGGAGUCUCGUGAGAGGGAGCGUGUGCGUUUCAGUGAGAAGGUCCAGUACCACGGCUACUGCCCAGACUGUGACCUCCAAUAUGAUGUGGAUGACACAGAACUACACCUACAGGCUGAGCUGAACGACCUGCGGCUCAGCCCAGUGCAUUGCUGCUCUUCCAUCUCCCCUCCUCCUCCUCAUGCUCUUCCACAUGAACUAAUGUUGGAAAAUGGCAGCCUCUCGGUCAGCCACAGUUUCCAGCCGAAAGCAAACACACCCCCACCUUGUGUGCCUCCUCACCCCCCUUCCCAUAAGCCCCAAAAAACAAUCCUACGCAAAUCAACCACUACCACGGUUUGACGCUGAACCCCCUUGUUGUGUCUAACUUAAACGUUCUUGAAUCAUUCAUAGUGUUUUCUACUUUAUGAGCGCUUUCUACUCCAAUUAAACUUUGGAUUAUCCAAACAGAAAAAGGAAGAGUUGGGAAAAGGAUGGAUCAAGUAAGUGGAACAGAAAGGAAUGCAUCGCCAUAGGCGCUGAGACGUACACAGAGAGAUCAGGGAGAAGCGGGCCAUACGAGUGGAAGGGAUGCUUGUUUCAUACCCUGGUUGAUCAGGGGGCGGGAGGAGCCAGAGCUGAGGCCAAGCAUCAACCUUUUUUUUCUUUUUUUCAUAUAUCACUAAUGGCUCUCAAUCACAAGGAGAUCAUCUAGACAAAUUCAUACUUUUACUUUUGAGCACUGAACAACCUCCAGGCACAGUUGUUCCAGGGCAAAAUGCUGCUGUGAAACUGGGGAAAUAGGGAGAGCAGUCACUUUAUGUACAUGUAAGCGUAUACAGAUCGAUGGAUUCAUAGUUGUGGAGGUGAUAUUUUUCGUACAUAGAAAUAGUUGAAUUAAAGAUUAGAAUGCUGCUGAAACCCUAUCAUCAAAAGUAAAGAGGCAAGUUUAGAUGAAGAGGUACAACAUGGGGUCAAAUGAUGCCAGUAUUUGAUUGAUGUCUACACAGACUUUUGCUGUGUGCAUACUCAGAUGGAAAUCAAUAGCUCCACUCAACCGAUGGAAUUUGCUUUUAAGAAUUGUAAUUGUUUGUGUCUGGAGAGCCCGACAAGUCUGCCUGUGAGCAAAACACUGCUGGACUGCAGAUAAGGACAACAUAUUAUUUUGUCAGCAUGUGACAUAUGCUCAAUCAUAGACAGGUUUGGAAAGGGCGGAAAUGAAUGAAGAUGUGGUCACUGCUCUGUGUCCAGACAUUAUCUAUUGUCCAUUGUACAUCAUAAUCUAUGUGCUCAACUUGUGCCAUGACAAAAUAAGAGAUACAGUAUAGUGCCAUAGUUACAGCUUUAAAGGAACCUUGAAGAAGUAAUAAUUUGCAUCAAAUUUUCUUUGUAUACAAAAAUACAUGUACAUAUUUGAUAUCUAUAUAUUUCAGGCAUUUUUCUACUGAGACUUUAACAUUUAAAGAGAUAAUAUUUUUGAUAUUGUGUUGGAUGACUGAAGGUACUUUGAUGAAAGCUGACAUUCCCCCGAAGUACGUGUUUUUCAGCAGGGCAUAGCAGGAUGAGUUAUUUAUAUAUAGCAACGGGAUGGUGUUUGUAUGGAUGAAAAAACAAGUGCUUCAUUAAUAUCACUUCAAGAAACUUUACAGAAGGGGCUGUAUUGUGAGAAAGGUGGAGAAGAUUAAUGGCGUUAACCAAAUACCUAGUUGUGCUUUAUCAGACAGGAGGCAUGGGGCUGAAUGAAUGAAAGCAUGACUGACUCUUCACUUUGUCCUGCCAUCACUGUGUUUUUCUAUGCAUUUCUGUGGAGAGGCUGUCUGUUGGUGGGUCCAACAUGCAGGGUGCUCUGCUCUCCAUAACACAGAGUUAAGAAGUAGUCUUUCACAUUUACUCAUAUGAUGUCCAUCAGGUUAUUUCUGCAGCCACUAUAAACCUGACAAAUGUCCUGUUUAUCACAUUUCUUAGGCCAAUGACAUACUUAAUAAUUAAAUAAUAAUAAAAGUGUAUUCAUAUAGCCAGAAGAUUAUGAAAUACAAACUGAAAAAUAAAGAGAAUAAAAGGGAAGAAUAGGAAACUCAUUUUCAUAGGCCAUUUUUGAAUAAUACAAUUGUGGGAAACACUGGAGAGCAACAACACAGCCUCUCUCCAUAUUCAGACUGGAGGCACCACAAAUAAACUCCACCUCUUUGUUCUCACUGGACACAGAGACUGAAUUCAUGAUCAAACUCUGGAUCAAUCAAGAAUCAUUUUUAAAGAUGAUUGGAACGUCUCAAAAAGCUGUCGGUGAUAUUUUGUUGCGUGUCCACAAACUGUUGGAAAA